rnacentral:rRNA from 1 species
CGGUGGACGGGUGAGUAAUGCCUAGGAAUCUGCCUGGUAGUGGGGGACGAACGUUUCGAAAGGAACGCUAAUACCGCAUACGUCCUACGGGAGAAAGCAGGGACCUUCGGGCCUUGCGCUAUCAGAUGAGCCUAGGUCGGAUUAGCUAGUUGGUGGGGUAAUGGCUCACCAAGGCGACGAUCCGUAACUGGUCUGAGAGGAUGAUCAGUCACACUGGAACUGAGACACGGUCCAGACUCCUACGGGAGGCAGCAGAC